UACGUAGGGAGCAAGCGUUGUCCGGAAUCAUUGGGCGUAAAGCGCGCGUAGGCGGCCCUGUAAGUCCGCUGUGAAAGUCAAAGGCUCAACCUUUGAAAGCCGGUGGAUACUGCAGGGCUAGAGUCCGGAAGAGGCGAGUGGAAUUCCUGGUGUAGCGGUGGAAUGCGCAGAUAUCGGGAGGAACACCGGUGGCGAAGGCGGCCUUCUGGACAGUGACUGACGCUGAGACGCGAAAGCGUGGGGAGCAAACAGG
rnacentral:rRNA from 1 species